rnacentral:rRNA from 1 species
UACAGAGGGUGCGAGCGUUGUCCGGAAUCACUGGGCGUAAAGGGCGCGUAGGUGGCGCUGCAAGUCGGUGGUGAAAGCUCGAUGCUUAACAUCGAGUCGGCCAUCGAGACUGCAGGGCUCGAGCACUGUAGGGGCAGAUGGAAUUCCGGGUGUAGCGGUGGAAUGCGUAGAGAUCCGGAAGAACACCGGUGGCGAAGGCGGUCUGCUGGGCAGUUGCUGACACUGAGGCGCGACAGCGUGGGGAGCAAACAGG